UAUUAGGUUGGUGCAAAAAGUAAUUGUGGUUUUUGCCAUUAGAAGUAAUGGCAAAAACCGCACUUACUUUUUGCACCAACCUAAUA
rnacentral:pre_miRNA from 1 species